rnacentral:rRNA from 1 species
AUUGAACGCUGGCGGCAGGCCUAACACAUGCAAGUCGAGCGGAUGAAGGGAGCUUGCUCCUGGAUUCAGCGGCGGACGGGUGAGUAAUGCCUAGGAAUCUGCCUGGUAGUGGGGGAUAACGUCCGGAAACGGGCGCUAAUACAGCAUACGUCCUGAGGGAGAAAGUGGGGGAUCUUCGGACCUCAAGCUAUCAGAUGAGCCUAGGUCGGAUUAGCUAGUUGGUGGGGUAAAGGCCUACCAAGGCGACGAUCCGUAACUGGUCUGAGAGGAUGAUCAGUCACACUGGAACUGAGACACGGUCCAGACUCCUACGGGAGGCAGCAGUGGGGAAUAUUGGACAAUGGGCGAAAGCCUGAUCCAGCCAUGCCGCGUGUGUGAAGAAGGUCUUCGGAUUGUAAAGCACUUUAAGUUGGGAGGAAGGGCAGUAAGUUAAUACCUUGCUGUUUUGACGGUACCAACAGAAUAAGCACCGGCUAACUUCGUG